CGCACUCCCCGGGGACAAAGGUGAAAGCCGGAGCUGCGCCCGGAAUGUUUUAUUUUGCAAUGCGAUCCCAGCGGCGGAGGAGAGAAAGGAGGAGGGGCUCGAUCGGAUCGGGUUCGUUCAGGGAGCGUUGGAAAUCACAACACCUGACUGUCGCAGUCUUCCUGCAGACUUGAAGCAAAGCAGAUUCCCACACCACCUCCCCGGGACUGGAGCGAGCCUUCUCAACACUUUUCUGAAACUAUCUCGCGGUCUUGCCAGUGCCUGUUGCUGGGCGACUCCUUUAUUUCCACCCCAGCCCCCUCCACUGGUGAAUGGCUACGUGGUGCAAGAAAAAAAAACAGAAACUGGUGUCAAUUCUCAACUCCAAGUAUCCCUGGAAAGAUCAUAGGUUGCCUCAGUUUGAGUCAGAUCUGAAUAAGAAUGCCAUGUACGACCUUAAUACCGAACACGGUCAACUUCAGCGGGGCGUCUGCGAAAGAAUGCCAUGCAAGACCUUAAUACCGAACACGGUCAACUUCAGCGGGGCGUCUGCGAAAGACGGGAGUGUUUGGGCUGCUGUUGGUCGAUAGCAAUAUCAGAAAGGCUAAACUCAGGAUAUGAAAUGCUGAAGAAACUCAGCAGGUCUGGCAGCGUCUGUAGGGAGGGAAACACGGUGAAUGUUUCGAGUCCCAUUUACUUCGGGAACACGAACACUUUCUGUUUUUAUUUCAGCUUUCCAGCAUCCGCAACAUUUUGCUUUGAUGUCAGAGAGAACAAACUAAUUCCAACAUUCCGACAAAUAACUUCACCAUGUCUUGAAUACCAAAGGCAAAUAUUAUUGCAAACAACUGAGAUGGGGGUUUCGUAUCAACGAAAUAUUCUCAGAAUCAAUUUCUGCCUCAAAUACAGCCAAGUUUUCAGACUCUGCUGCAAUAGUGGAAUGCGCUGUUUUGAGUAAAUGAUUUGCUGCCCUCCCACUCGCGCGAUGUUGUGAUACACUCCCAUCUUUUUUCAUUUUGGUAUCUACCAACCACCUUACUUGUCACAAUCCACUUCGCCCGUCCUGGUUGAGUGUUUGGCUACAUCUUCCGAUAAACUAAUGACGCUGCUAAUUGUAGGUCUUGACGAACUUUUAAAAAAUGAAAGCGAGUCCAAAAUGCUGUAGAAUGCACAGACUAUUGGCGAGUUUAUGAAUCGGCCUGUGAAAUUUUAUAGACGAAAUUGACUUGGAUAGUUAAAUAUCUGCAUUAUUUUGGAGAUUUUAAAAAAACAUUGUGGAUCGCACGCUUGGCGAGUGAAAAGUUGUUACUAUCCUGUCAUUUUUCAUGGACACAGAAACCGUUCCUGUGAAGAUGCAUGUAAGCAUGAUAUCUUCAGGUUAUCUUCAAAGAUACGUGAAAAUUACACGCAUCUCGGGGGAAUAACAAGCAUUAAGACCAAAUUCUAAUAUCCAAUUUCCCGUGUGUGUAGUUGAAGGUAUGACCCCAUUUUCUUUAACUGUUCCCUGCUAUCAACGAUUUGAUGGACUGUAUUUAAGACUAGCGUCGAAGAUUUCUGCAAGGUCUGUCACACAAUCUCGAACGAUGGGUAACAAGUUUUGAAUCAUUGAAUCAUUUAUUGUCACGUGUAUUCGGUGUAAAACUACAGUGAAACGUGUGUACCUUCGCCGUACAUACCGAGCGCCAUUCAUAAGAAUAAGAAAAAAAUAAUUUAAGGGAGUCCAACUUUCUUUUCCACUGCGCAAUCUCCCUUCCUUUGCAAUUAAGUGUUUUCUGCUCCCCUAUAAACAGUUUUGCAGAUAUCUUUAAUCAACCUGUUCUGGGGCAAGUGGCCCUUGAAGCGGCACGUUCUGGCCCAGAGAUAGGAACCGUAGCGCUACAAUUUCCUGCCCAACUGGUUUUGUAAAGAGAUAUCGAGGUGUAGAGCUGGAUGAACACAGCAGGCCAAGCAGCAUCAGAGGAGCAGGAAGUUUCGGGCCUAGACCCUUCUUCAGAAAGAGUCCGCUUCUAAAGAUAAUUCGCAUUUUACCCGGAUUAUGGAAAUCUGCCCUUCUCCAAAUCGAAUUUCUACCAACCAAGUAGACAGUCGAAAUUAGCAUGUUUAUCAACAACAGGUGGAGGUGUCAUGAUGCAGUGAUUAGUUAUCCUGCCUCGGAGCCAGAAGUACUGGGUUUAUCCCCCAUUCAGGACUAGGUGGUCAACGGAGUCAUGUUCAUAAUGUGGCCAAACAGUCGCAAACACCUGUGACUCUGGAAUUGGUCCUGCUGAAUCACCUGAGGACGCAUAUGGAGCUCGUACAAUCAGGAAAGUAUGCAGAUAAAAGG